CGAGUAGAGUGGCGAAAGGGCGAGUAAUGCGUUUCUAACGUGCCCCAAGGUCGAGGAUAGCCCAGGGAAACUUGGUUUAACACUCGAUGACCCCGCGAGACCGUAUGGUUUGGCGGGCAAAGUUUACGCCUUGGGAUCGGGGAACGUGCUAUCAGGUUGUUGGUGAGGUAAUGGCUCACCAAGCCUAAGACGGCUAGCGGGUGUGAGAGCACGACCCGCCGCAUCGGGACUGAGACACUGCCCGG
rnacentral:rRNA from 1 species